UUAACAGCCAGUGUGCGGAGCAGCUGUUUUCGGGGAUGAGAAAGAACAAUUACUUUUUGAAUCUGACAACCCCAUCUACGCACAUAUUUCUACAAAGAAACAUUCUCCAUCAUUACAACAUGACAAGGAACCAAAAAAUGAAAAACCAGUAGAGCAAGAUUGUUCCUCCAGAUGUUGCAAUGCAGUGUGACAGCCAUGGAAGGGUAGUCUUAGCUCACUCCCCAUCAGCUGCAAUGUCAACGGGGUCAUCUGGCAAAGAACAAGACGACUCAAGUGUUAAAUGAUGACAGUGAGCAGAGACCUUAUGGAGUCUUCACUAGUCUCCACAACUUAGCAGCACACAGAGCAUGCUGGGGACAGGAACUCCAAGACAGCCAGGAA